rnacentral:tRNA from 1 species
AAUAAGAUGCCUGAAAAAAGGAUCAUUUUGAUAGAAUGAACCAUGUGGAAUUCCACUCUUAUUA